rnacentral:piRNA from 1 species
GGCAGAGUCCUACAGCUUCAGGUACAC